rnacentral:rRNA from 1 species
UACGUAGGAUCCAAGCGUUGUCCGGAUUUACUGGGUGUAAAGCGUGCGCAGGCGGUUUUGUAAGUCUGACGUGAAAUCCCCGGGCUCAACCUGGGAAUUGCGUUGGAGACUGCAAGGCUGGAGUCUGGCAGAGGGGGGUAGAAUUCCACGUGUAGCAGUGAAAUGCGUAGAGAUGUGGAGGAACACCGAUGGCGAAGGCAGCCCCCUGGGUCAAGACUGACGCUCAUGCACGAAAGCGUGGGGAGCAAACAGG